AGCUCCAAUAGCGUAUAUUAAAGUUGUUGCGGUUAAAAAGCUCGUAGUUGGAUUUCUGCCGAGGACGACCGGUCCGCCCUCUGGGUGAGUAUCUGGCUCGGCCUGGGCAUCUUCUUGGAGAACGUUACUGCACUUGACUGUGUGGUGCGGUAUCCAGGACUUUUACUUUGAGGAAAUUAGAGUGUUUCAAGCAGGCUUACGCCUUGAAUACAUUAGCAUGGAAUAAUAAGAUAGGACCUCGGUUCUAUUUUGUUGGUUUCUAGAGCUGAGGUAAUGAUUAAUAGGGAUAGUUGGGGGCAUUCGUAUUUAACUGUCAGAGGUGAAAUUCUUGGAUUUGUUAAAGACGAACUACUGCGAAAGCAUUUGCCAAGGAUGUUUUCA
rnacentral:rRNA from 1 species